UCAUUCCCUACACGGCACUAUUCCGAUCCUGUUGUGAUUGUUGUAUAUACAGUUAGUAAUAACCAUAUUAAUAUUAGCAUACUAUAUGAAGACUAUAUGUGUUACAGCAGAGCACAGUGAACUUUUCGUUAUCUUCCUCUGAAUACCCAAAAAUCUUUUCAAAUAUAUUAUGAUUUUUAUUACAAUUUAAAAGCAAUAUUUAAAUUCGAAACAAUUUAUCGUAAAUAUUCGCAGUAGAUAUACACACACACACAGGUAUAUAUAUAGGUAUAUAUAUAUAUACCUACAUUGAAUUUACAAU